rnacentral:rRNA from 1 species
AUUGAACGCUGGCGGCAGGCCUAACAUAUGCAAGUCGAACGAGUGGCGGACGGGUGAUUUAUGUCUGGGCAAUUGCCUGAUGGAGGGGGAUAACUAUUGGAAACGGUUGCUAAUACCGCUUUCUAUCUUAUGUGCCCAGAUGGGAUUAGCUAGUAGGUGGGGUAACGGCUCACGUAGGCGACGAUCCCUAGCUGGUCUGAGAGGAUGACCAGCCACACUGGAACUGAGACACGGUUCAGACUCCUACGGGAGUGAGCAGUGGGGAAUAUUGCACAAUGGGCGCAAGCCUGAUGCAGCCAUGCCGCGUGUAUGAAGAAGGCCUUCGGGUUGUAAAGUACUUUCAGCGGGGAGGCGUUACCCGCAGAAGAAGCACCGGCAAACUCCGUGCCAGCAGCCGCGGUAAUUC